rnacentral:rRNA from 1 species
AGGGAAUCUUCCGCAAUGGGCGAAAGCCUGACGGAGCAACGCCGCGUGAGUGAAGACGGCCUUCGGGUUGUAAAACUCUGUUCUUGGGGAAGAAGAAAGUGACGGUACCCAAGGAGAAAGCCCCGGCUAACUACGUGCCAGCAGCCGCGGUAAUACGUAGGGGGCGAGCGUUAUCCGGAUUUAUUGGGCGUAAAGCGCGCGCAGGCGGUCAGGUAAGUCGGAUGUGAAAGGCUACGGCUCAACCGUAGAGCGGCAUCCGAAACUGCUUGACUUGAGUGCAGGAGAGGAGAGUGGAAUUCCCGGUGUAGCGGUGGAAUGCGUAGAGAUCGGGAGGAACACCAGUGGCGAAGGCGACUCUCUGGACUGUAACUGACGCUGAGGCGCGAAAGUGUGGGGAGCAAAC